UGGCAAGCGUUGUCCGGAAUUAUUGGGCGUAAAGAGCAUGUAGGCGGGCUUUUAAGUCCGACGUGAAAAUGCGGGGCUUACCCCCGUAUGGCGUUGGAUACUGGGAGUCUUGAGUGCAGGAGAGGAAAGGGGAAUUCCCAGUGUAGCGGUGAAAUGCGUAGAUAUUGGGAGGAACACCAGUGGCGAAGGCGCCUUUCUGGACUGUGUCUGACGCUGAGAUGCGAAAGCCAGGGUAGC
rnacentral:rRNA from 1 species